AUGGAUCAAAACCUCAAGCGUAUGUUUUGGAAUGUGCGUGGCUUGAACUCCGGAGCCAAGCGCACCGCUGUCCGUAGUGUCGUUGCCUCCGACAUGCCUUCCAUCGUCUGCCUCCAAGAGACCAAGCUCGCCCUCAUCACGUUGCCGCUUGUGGUCGAAGCGCUCGGGCCUUCCUUUGAUGGCUUCUUCUUUCUCCCCGCGGUCGAGACCUGUGGGGGCAUUCUGCUGGCUUGGCGUAGCUCCGUGAUUGCCGUGUCCAACCCUUCCUAUGGUUCCCACCACAUCACGGCGGUGAUCUCUUCGCUCGCUGGAGACCGGCACUGGUGGCUCACCGGAGUCUAUGGGCCUCAAAGCGACCCCGAGAAGAUGCAAUUCCUGGCUGAUCUGCAAGAGGAGCGGGCUAACUGCGUUGGUCCCUGGGUCCUUGGCGGCGACUUUAACAUGAUCGCUUCCGCCGCCGACAAAAACAACCCACACCUUAACUUGCGCAUGCUUCGGCGUUUCCGGCGGUUCAUGGCUGAUUUGGAGCUGCGUGACCUCUACCUCCACGGUCGCCGGUAUACUUGGUCCAACGAGAGGGAUAACCCCACGCUUGUCCGGAUUGACCGUGUGAUUUGCACCCCUGCGUGGAAUGAGGCCAACCCGCACUGUCUUCUUCGUUGCCUUUCCUCGGCUACCUCCGACCACUGCCCCCUCAUGGUGGAUUGCACCGCGAGUUCUUCGGGCCGCGCCGGUUUCACUUCGAGAGAUUCUAGCUAA
rnacentral:rRNA from 1 species